GGUGUGUCAUGUGCCAGCUUUGAGGUUUAUAGGUAAAUCCGUAGACUGAGGUGAGACAUGGCAACGUGCCUUGAGGUAGAAGUGAGUUAACCCUUGUUGCCAAGAAAAAGCUUCUAAACGUUGAUUCUUGAGUGCCUGUACCGCAAACCGACACUGGUAGAUGGGGUAGAAUAUACCAAGGCGAAACGGGAGAACCUUUGUUAAGGAAUUAGGCAAUUUAGCCUCGUAACUUCGGGAUAAGAGGUGCCCUCUGGUGUGAAAUGAAUAAUGAGCACCGGGGGGUCGCAGUGAAAUGGUUCUAGGGACUGGUUACCAAAACCACAGGUCUCUGCAAAAGCCGUAAGGCGAUGUAUAGGGGCUGACACCUGCCCAGUGCCGGAAGGUUAAAGGGAGAGGUUAGACGCAAGUCGAAGCUUUGAACUGAAGCCCCGGUGAACGGCGGCCGUAACUAUAACGGUCCUAAGGUAGCGAAAAUUCCUUGUCGGGUAAGUUCCGACCCGCACGAAAGGUGUAACAACUAGAACAGUGUCUCAACAAAGGACCCG
rnacentral:rRNA from 1 species